UUGUCUUACAGCUCUUUUAGAAUUUGUCUGGCAGCUUUUCUGAUUUUCUUCCAGAAAACCACC
rnacentral:snRNA from 1 species